GGAGAGGUCUGACCGGUCUGCCCAAAUUAUCUAGAAAACCUUCAUCGUGCCAAUUUUGAGUGUCAACAAUGGGCGGUGGUGGUCUUUGUUAAGAGUGCCGCGGCCGCGAGUUUGCUUCUGGAUGUGGAGCCGCCCGCCUGUGUCGCGGCCGCGAGUUUGCUGGCGGCGGCAGCACCACGGUGGCUGCCCCUUUGGCUUUGCCAUCCACCGGAGCUAUCUUCGACUCUGCUUCCUCCCGUUCUCUGAACUGAACCCAGUGAAUUUUGCUCUCUGCAGGUGAAUGGAGCUGCUGCUGCCUGGGAUAUUGGCUCCCAAAAUUUGUUCAGUGGAUUUCAUGCACAAUUUAAGUCAGUAGAACUUGGAGAGAGAAAGAAAAGGAUGCUACUGCUAAUUUAGCUUGUUCAGAGAAACCAGAAUUGCAGCUUUUAAGUUUUGUUUCUACAAGCAUGAGCAAGUUGUAUGUACAGAUGGAGAAGAGCUAGUCAGGAAAUAGUAAACAAAUUUAAAAGUGCUGAAAUUAUACGGUACAAUUGUAAGCGCGCGUUUUCCUCCUUCUGAACCUUCUGAACUACCACACUAGACAUCUCCACCAAAGUUUAGCCUGUUGAACCGAACAUUUGUAAUAUUUGUGCUAUGUAGUAGUACUUGCUGUUUUAGAUGCCGUCAUAUCAGUGGACUGGCAAAUCAGUUAUCCUAUUUCGAUGUUUCCUUACUUUAGUUGAACAGCCGUGUGCUUAAAUUUCUAAUGCAAAUUAUCUGGGUGUUAAAUGUCCCUA